rnacentral:rRNA from 1 species
AACGUAGGAGGCGAGCGUUAUCCGGAGUUACUGGGCGUAAAGCGUAUGUAGGUGGCAAGGCACGUCAAAUGUGAAAGCUCCUGGCUAAACCAGGAGAGGGCGUGUGAUACGGCCUGGCUAGAGGGUGAUAGAGGAGCGUAGAAUUCCGGGUGUAGUGGUGAAAUGCGUAGAUAUCGAGAGGAACACCUGCGGCGAAGGCGGGUUGCUGGGCUGACACUGACGCUGAGGCGCGAAAGCUAGGGGAGCGAACGGG